CAGUAAGUAUUUUAUAAAAAUUUAAGUUUAGGAGAUUUAAGAUGUGUUGUUAAACACUUUACUGA
rnacentral:tRNA from 1 species